ensembl:rRNA 5S_rRNA 5S ribosomal RNA
GCCUACGGCCGUGCCACCCUCAACAAGCCCCAUGUCUGAUCCUGGAAGCUAAGCAAGGCCGGGCCUGGUCAGUACUCGGAUGGGAGACCACCUAGGAAGACCAGGUGCUGUAGGCG